AAGAAUACGUUUAUUUUGAUGUUAUCAAAAUAAACCCAAUUGUAAUAGAAUGCAAUAGUGUAGGCCGGAAAUAUGCGGCAAGCCGGUGACUACACACGAUAGCGCGCCUCUUUUGUAAAAUGAUUUUGAGGUCAAUAACCGAAUGUUUCCCAGCAGGUCGGCAAAUAUCAAACAUAGGCGCAUCUUUGUAGCCUACAUUGAGGUCACAAAGCCGAAUCUUUACCACGCGUGUUUUGUAAAUAUCAAUGAUAGGCGCGCUUUUGUAAUACAUAUCGGGGUCGCAAGGCAAGUGUUUCCCACGACGUGUAUUUUUACUAAUCAAUGGGUCAUUCUCAGCUAAUACUUCGUUUGAGUUGGUCGUGUUUUAUUGGACUCAGAAUUAUACAUGCUAAUUGUACACAGGUUGUCGCUGUUGAACUGACUGCACCGGUUUGUUUCUAUUAUCACUGGGUUUCACACCAAUACGCUGGAUAUUCGGAAUUGAACAGAGAGACAGCUACACGGGAUAUAAGGAUUAAACGGUGGAAAAGUUACACUGGAUAUCUGGAAUUAAACAGAGGAAGAGUUACACUGGAUAAUUGGAUCUAAAAAGAGAAAAUGUUACACUAGAUAUUUGGAAUUGAACAGAGGAGUAAUUGUAUUGGAUAGCUGGAAUUAAAUAUUGGAGGAAGUUACAUCGGAGCUCGGAUUGCGGCAUAGUCGUCUAACUGGCUCGUCUGUAUUGUGUGGACGACAAGAUGGGGAAGUCUAAGGCGUCUACGGGACGAAAGGGCAAAGGAAAGCGGAGAGAGCCAGCGCUUCAAAACAGUGACCCGAUCAGGGGGACAACGCCAGCUCCACAUUCUCGAGUGACGAGACGCGGCUCGAGGAGUAACCCAGCCGCUUCGGCGGGGCGGGAGCGCCAAGGAGACCAGACUCCGACGGGGGGGGGCCAACAUCACAGAAUCCCUAGAAACGGCGAAUCAACCGUCUAUUGUCCAUCCUCCACCCGGUGCCCAGGCUCACCGGGUUUGGGUGUGCGGAGACAUUCUCGUGAGGCGAGCUGGUGAGCGGGCGUUUACCAGAGGCUGUCGAGACCUGGGAAUCGCUGGUUGUGAGGUGGCAUGGCACGGGCGAGGAGGGGCGUCGCUAUACGCGAUUUCCCGCGUCAAUUACAGGGCCAAGUGAGGUUCGGUCCUUCUCCAUCGGAGCUAAUCAUCCAUGCGGGCUCGAACGACUUGGGGCGUUAUUUUGCAAAGGACUGUCGACAAGCGGUGGAUGAAGCACUGAAUACAGCGCGGUCAUUGUUGCCGCAAUGCUACACUUCAUUUUCAAGCAUCUUACUCGCCUGUAUUACUAUGGUCAUGAUGUACACGUCACGUCGCAGGUCGUCAUCAAUGAUGUGCGGAAAGGUGUCAACAAGUAUGCCAGACGGAGGGUCCGGCGUAUGUGUAGUGGAUCAUUCAUAGGCCACAAUUUCAAUGUCCAAGAACACUGGUAUUUUCACAGAGAUGGCGUGCAUCUGUCUGAUGAGGGAUGUGAUCUUCUCGUGGAGAACUUUGCGUCAGCGGUUCGAUUUGCUCUUAAUCUUUGAAACUUUAUUUUGUGCAUGCCCUUUGUUUUAUUGCGGGCAAUCAGGAGUAUAUUGAAAUUUAAAGAGUAGAUUACGAUUUAAAAUGGUUUAUUGACAGGCUGACAAAAUGUAGGUCAAGAGGUUGUUUACAUUUUUGAGGGAAAUUCACGCGCUAGGAAAUGUAAUACUUUGUAUUACAUUGGAAGGAAAUGUACAAGCGUAUGUACGCUUAUCAAGCAAGCGCGGAAAAUACCGCCAGCAAAUUACAAAUAGCACGAAGGGGCUUUCAUUCUAGUUAUGGCUGUCAUUUGAAUGGACAAGAAGAAAAAUGUACGGAGUCUGAAACAUUCCCACCACCUCCCCAUUAUCUCCACCAAUAAAAGUAUUUUUAGUAUAUUAGUGGCAUAAAUUAAAUAUUGCUUGGUGGUUCGAAGUAGCCAAGGUAUACGUAUUAGUACGGAAAGGAUUUAGGGUUUCAGGUAUGAAAGGUACGGAUAGGGUUUAUGUAAUAAAUUGGUCAGUGAUUUAUGAAGUUAAUGCAGAGCCGGGGGCAUUUGGCCUGGUCGCACAUCAAGCGUCGUGCACAAAGACAGUGGGCCGUAGGGGAAUUUUCCCAUUGGGUUUCGCCCCUACCCGGUUUUGUAUGGGUAAAUCACUAAUCACAUGGUACUGAUAAGUUUAUUGAUCGAUGAUUGUCAUCCAAUAAUUUUCGACCCCACUCAUUUUUACAUGCGAGGGGGUUGCCAAUGUAUAUUCAGUCGAAUUUGUUCGCAUGUCAAUUCUUAGUUUUCCGGCCCCCAUUCGAUUUGAAUGCGGGGGGACCUAGUUGUACCUACACAUUUUCAAACUCAGGGUGUCACGCUUUAAUCUUAGGCAUCAUCCGAUCUUACAGGCGGAGAGGCUGGUAUAUAUAUACAUCUAUUUUCUAUAACUUUAGGCAUCACUCGAUUUUAUAGGCGGGGGGCUGAUAUAAUGACUUAAUGUAUAUAAGUUUAGCCUUGGCAUCACUCGAUUUCAUAGACGGGGGGCCUCGCAUUUGUAAGCAUUUUUUAUGAUUCAAUAUAUCUGUGUUAUUUGUUAUGACACCCAGGAAAUCAAAAUGUGCAAAAUAAGCGUCCAUCUCAAAAUGUUAAUAAAGCCACAAAAAUAACGCAAAGUUGAUUGUUUGUUAUUUUUGUUAGCCGUGCAUAAAUUUUGCCACAUGCCCAGGUUCUAUUUCGCUAGGCAAAAAAAAAAAAAAAAAAAAAAAAAAAAUUGGGUUGUUGGGAUUUGGAGUUUGUUCUUUUGUUUCGUUCCUGAACUAUAAUCAUUUCCAGUAUGCCUCAAGGAGAGGAAUGGCCAAGAGCGCCAUGAACCGACGGUGGGGACAGGCUGCGAUUACCAGAUCUUGUGUAGGGAACCAAUGGCCCAGGAAACUGGGCCUGCUGGGUAGAGCACCGUCUUCCCAGCUGGUCACGUGACCCGUGACCCUCGGGUUCCCAUAUUUGUGGAAUCGCAGUCUGUCGCCUUCCGCCAUUGCAAACAAAUAAUUAUGGAAAUGGUUUUAUAUGAUUUCAUAUCUAUGUUAUGUAAUAAUAUGUCAAGUUGGAAAUAUGCUACCGCAAAAACUCGAACGGAAAUAUGUAAAUGGUUUUUGUAUGAUUUUAUAUCUAUGUUAAUAGUAUGUCAAGUUGGAAAUAUGCUACCGCUAAAACUCGAACGGAAUUAUAGAAAUGUUUCUAUAUGAUUUCUUAUCUAUGUUGAUAAUAUGUCAAGUUGGAAAUAAGCCAACUCAAACGGAAGAAUUAAAAGUUGAGAAAAAGGCAA